rnacentral:lncRNA from 1 species
CGGGUCAAAUCCCAGAUGCAAUUGGCAGACUAUCCCGCUUGAGAAUCUUGGACUUCUCUGGUACUUGUAUUUCUAGUUUGCCUGCCACGAUCGCUCAUCUCUCUCACCUGAAAGAGUUACGUCUCCAAGGUUGUGUGCUUCCUCCAGGUAAAAUCCCAAAUGCAAUUGGCGGACUAUCCCGCUUGAGUACCCUGGACUUCUCUGGUACUUGUAUUUCUAGUUAGCUUGUCAUGAUCACUCAUCUCUCUCACCUAGAAGAGUUAUGUGUCAAAGGUUGUCAGCAUCUUACGUGAUAUGUCCAGAAUGACACAAGUGCAGAAGAUGAUCCAAAACGUUACAAGUUUAGGAUGAAGCAGGUUCAUAAUGUAGUAGGUCCAGAACGUAGUAGAUUCAGAACGAAGCAAGUUCAUAACGAAACAACUUGAUAGAACAUGACAUAAACCCAAACAUAUAAUAGCUAGCGAUCUGAUUUGGAUUUUACAUUAAGAUAUAUUUGAUUGACUCAAUCUAAUUGAUUGACAAUUGGAUCUUGAAGACGAAAACUUUCUAAAUGAAUAAGCCAUACUUAUGGAAACUAAGAUUUCAUUUAUAUGGGCAAUCAGAAUCAACUUGAAAUUUUACUUUUGUCACUUAAUGGUUACCUAAUCUUCUUAAUACAGAUCUAUCCAAUGAAUAGAUUGGAAGAUGAUCCUCUAGAUACUAUUUAACGGCUAGUUUAAAAGUGGAGGAGUAUUUAAGGAGAUUAAGGAUCGAUGAGUAUGUAAGAGACGGAGUGUAGAAUCUAGAAUUCUAAAGUUUGAGUGAACUUCGAUCAUACACUUGUCUUUCAUGAGCUUAAACGUUUUUGAUCAUAAGAGAAAUACCAAAAUAGUGACUUAGUAAGAUAGUGUGAUCUAUCAUUGAGUGUUUGCACUCAAAGUUGUAAUAUCUUAUUAAUCAUAUAGUGGAAUCCAGCCAAUAGGUUGUUAGCGAGGGAGAGUGGACGUAGGCAUGAUCUAAGCCGAACCAUUAUAAAUUCUGUGUGCAUUCUUCUCUUUUGUUAACUCUCAUUAUUUAAGUCUAUUACACGCUUACAGGUUAUUUCAGAAGUUUGUUCCAUCACAUAACAUAUUUUGAAUAUUUACUAGAAGUCUGGUAACUCGUUUAUCAGACUUUGAUGCUUAUUUAGACUUUUUUCGCAACUUAUUCUAUUUCGCAUUUAUUUGUUAGGAUUUCUUUUAACUACAUAUUCACCCCUCUAAGAGUUCGUACUAGUUCAGGAUUUACUUCAAAUCUCCCUUCCAUUCACAUGAUUUACCUCAAUAUCCUCUAUUAACACUGCAUUAGCGCACUUGGGAUUCAGUGGGGUAGCCCGUCCGCGUGUCCUUGCAAUAAGACCAUUACAUUUUGCUUUCAGACCAUAUAGUAACGAUCCUCCUUGCCCGUCCUUGUUUCUGUGAUCGGUUUUUGCGGAUCCAAUUACAAGAUUGUCGGCAGAACAUUCAUAAAAUGUGGGCUCGUGAUUAUAAUUCUAGUGAGUGAUGGGUAAAAGGCCGUUCUUCUGCUUCUGGAGCUUUGCAUCAUUUCCUUAAGCAAUGAGAGUUAUCAGCGCGUCCCAUUUGUCUUUCAGUUCUUGCAUCGUCGGCCAACAUGUACAUAACUCUGCCCGCUUUCCUUUUCUAGUUCCACUCCAAGCUCAUCUUUAUAAUUUGAAUAUCUAGUGAUUUUUUGUCGAAAUGGCGGCAUGUGCACGAUUUUUUAUGCAAAUGGCCACUUUAUUUAUAUUCUCAACAACAAAGAUAUCGUGUAUUUUUUCCCUUUUUGUGCAUAGAGUUAAAGAUCUUCAAAUUGCAGUUUGUUUGAGAUAUCAAAUCAACAAUGAGAAUGUCAUUUUGAUAUCCUUUUUAAUUCUGUUAGUCAGACUAAAAUUAACCACCUUUCACUGUGCAUUUUCGCAGCCUCAGAAAAAGUUCAUAAGGUUAUUACCGAGGCUAUCGAGACCGCGGUAUUUAUAGACAAGGAAGCACUGACACGUUUAGAGGGCCUCUGUAUCGUGUCGGACACCCUGACACGUGUCCCACCGGCUUGGAUACCGUCAAAGACGCUUGAACAGGAGAUCAACAGGUAUCGGAGUUUCCGACACUCGCGUCGGAGUGUGUCCGGAGGUUUGUGGGCAGAUCCGCAGGUGCGAAGGGAAGAAAGUGAUGGAGGGUGGAGGCUAGGGUGAGGGAGCUGAGGCGACGCCGUGAGCGACGACGAGGCAGGGCUCCGACUGUCAACUGCAACACUAAGAAGCCUUCUCGAUCAUCUUGGUUGGCUGCAACCGCCGAUUGCAACGCCGAGAUGGAAACGGAAAGGCCGUGAUGGAGGGCUGGAUGCGAGCUACGACGGCAAAGGGGGGAACGGAAGCGAGGCAGCGGUGAGUGGGGUGGAGACCAAGCGAGGGAGAGGAGAAAGAAGGCGAUCGCCGAUUGCUAAGGUUUUCAAUUUUUGGAAGAAGAGCAAGGAGAGAGAGGAUGUGUCGACGGCUUCUUGGGAAAAAAGAAAGCGUUGUGCAGUGUGCCUUUGGGAAGAGAUGUGUGCAGGCGGUGGGUGGGGUGGGGGAAAUAAAUGGAUGGGACCAUUUAACCCUAAAAAGAAAUAUUAAACAUUAAAUAAUUUUUUUUUUUGGCAAAAUCUGUAAAAAUUCACUCUUUCUUUUCAAGACAAUGAGAGAAACAGAUCGAGAGCCUUUGCGUACGUUGAAUAACUUUAUGAAUACAUGUUAUUAGUAUAGAUUUAUUAUAG